UACGAAGACUGUUCUGGCGCAGUUCAUGUGUGUCUCGGGUCCAAGGGCCUUUCUCAUCUGCGAAGGAUAAAUAUGUUCCAAGUGGUACAUGCUGCAAAACGAUCUACAUUGGCGCGAACGCCAACGUAAAUAUCGCUGGGCACCGCAACGCCACAACCCCAUGACAGCCACAACGCCACAGUCGACAUCAAAUGUUUUUGUCACCAAACGGAAUGUGCAUUUAAUGCCUGUGUCACAUAAUUUUGCAGCAAUGCAUUUCUUUUGCAAGGACCUAGGGAAUUUGAAAAGUAUUCAAGGAAAUAUGAGCAUUAACGAAAGUCUGGCAACACUGUAGUACACAAAAAUCUGCCAACAUGUCGUUUUUCUAGGGAAAAAACGGCGUUAAAUUUAGGCAACUAUGAAAAAUCACAAAAAUCUGCUAACUGUGGGUCAACAUGUGUCAGUGUUCCCAGGUGAAAUGUCCAUAACUGCCAACAUAUGUAUUACAUUUUAAAACUAAAUAACAAUGUAGAGACGUCCAAGAAAAUUUUUAAAGCCGAUACAGUUACUUUCUACAUGUGUAGAAGAAAAUAUCUCUUCAAAAUUGUUUUUUAAAUGCAAGCUGUGUAAUACUUUUUACAAUAUUAUUUUUAUCAAGUACUAAAUGAUAAUGGCAAAAUGAGAUAUUUCUAUCUGAAAUAUUUGCCUGCGUUUGUUGACAGACGCCAUAGAGUUUUAUAUUAUUUCUAUCGUUAAGCUUUGGUUUCACUUUUGCUCCUUGUGAUGAAUUCGUUGUGUUGAUGAAAAAUAAAUAAAUUAUGGGGUUUUACGUGCCAAACCCACUUUCUGAUUAUGAGGCACGCCGUAGUGGGGGCACCUGGGGUUCUGGUUGGGCGUUUUCACACGAACGCUGUGUAAGCACUGUGCACAGAAAUAACGUUGUAGGUGUUCUGCGCAAAUGCUAGUAUUCACCAGCAGGCAACGCGCAAAUGCAACGCGUUUCAAGGAGGCUGCAGGUAUUUGGCGCGUUGAAUGACGUACAGUAAUCGGCACGGUAAUGUGUGCAAGAGCAUAGCAAGAGUCUUACUGCUAGGAUGACCGGCCAUGCCAGUGCUACAGCUACACGUUGAGUGCUACUACAGUGAGCUGCGUUAAACAGAGAUACAAAAGUUUUCUGCAUCAUGCAGAACGAAACAUUUCAUUGUACAUGGUAAUAUAUGUUUUAUAUUGUUAGCAACGUAGAAUAACAAGCGCCACUUUUCCCGCAUGUGUUCGUGAGUCAUUCGCACCUUUUUUGCUUACGAUACCCGAUAGUCUAUGAAAGUAGACGAUAUUUGUGAGAAACUAGGAACACAAAAAUAAGCUGUUGUUGUUGUUGUAGCCUGUGAUGCGUGUGGCUCCUACCCACGAUGGGGGAUUGGCCAAGAAAAUGGGUGGAUUAUUCGAAAUUAUUAUGGAGCAUAAAAUGCUUCUGGAAAUUUAUCGUUUGUAGCUUUUGCGUUUUCUUUUUUUUUUUUCGCGUGGUUUAGAAUUUAGAUGCCGCCAGGGGCAUCAAUCAUACCAUUUCAAGAAAAAAAGAGCGUUAAAAAUAGCCUUACUGGUGCCAGUGGACCAUCGAAAGCUACAUUUGUGUUGCAUUUAUUUUUUAAGGGCACAGCAAGGGGCUCGAAUGACCGCAGCUAGCUGCCAGGGAACUAGGUGCUAUAAUUAUCGGUUCGCUUAAUUUAAAAGAUCAAAAUAGAACUCUUACCAUAUAUAUAAGACCGAUGGGCUUUUAAGUUUCCAGCAAGGCAAGAGUAGCGUGCAUAAGAUUUAGUUGUUCGUAAACCACGAACCAUUAAUUCUCCAGAAACUAUACGCCCUUCUCUAUUUCUCACACAUAUAAGGUACGUUCGAUUCACCUGCACCACUUGAACCAGUUCACGAGGUGCUGCACCCUGCCAUUCGUUUCAGCGGUGCAGCAAUCACGCCUGCAGAACCACGACGUUCGUUUCAAAAGGUGCAGAAAAGGUGCAGGGCUGGUUCAUGAUUUUGCUGCACCUGCUCCACUGUCGGUGCCGACUUGGUGCAGGCAUACAGGUGCGAAGCAGCGACGCAGCAGACGACGCAGCACACCGGCGCGAGCACCGUAAAAAGCCCGCUUACACAUGUGUGAUGUGUCUACGCAACUGUAGUGUGUAUUUACGCCCCAGAAACCGAUCAUACCUGCAGUUCAGGACCUCUCAAACUUACGCACUCCAUGCACAUUAGUCUGACAUUGCUUAACGUCUACACCCUGUCUGCACCUUUGCAUUCGUUUCGAGUGUUUCGCUGGGCCUGCACCUCCGGAAUUGAGCUGCACAGUUUCUAAACUUCUCGUGAACCACCGUGAACUGGUUCACAGUGGUGCAGGCGAAUCGAACAGACCCAUAGUAUUUUUACUUGUUCCUAACGUGAAACACACAUGCACAGCCCUGUUUGUAUUUCAUGUUCACCAACGUUGGAAAAAAAAUAAUGAAAGGGCUGCUUAAUGUUGGGGAAUAGAUCAAUAACAGUACAGUAGUAAAGGAAAUAGGCCCAAAGCAGUUAUAAUACUGCUUAUCUUUAAUUGCAUCUUUAUGCUGUUCAAUUUUGUGAAUCAAUGCAAAUGUAUGUUGGAUGGAUAGAUGGAAACUUUAUUUGGUCCUGCAAGUAGUGAUAAUUAACCACUAAGCGGGCCGCUCCCACGUCAGGACCGGAAGGCCUGGCCUCACGGCCACGUCAUGAGCCUGCUGGACAGCCCAGAAUUGUUCAUCCAGGUCCGGGCUGCGAAGUGCAGCCUCCCACCUGGACGCAUCCUUGAUCGCCGAGUCUUCAAUUCUUUCGCAAGACCAGAGCAUGUGUUCGAGCGUGGCUAAAGCACCACAAUCUUGGCAAUAAGGCUCUGUAUACGUCUCCAGAUAAAACAUGUUCAGUCUCCGUGGGCAAGGAUAAGUACCAGUCUGUAGUAAGCGUAAUGCAAGUGCCUGAGCCCUGUUUAGUUUAGGAUGCGGCAAACCGUAAACCCUGCGAUUAAGAAGGUAAUACGUCGUGAUUUCAUUGUAUGUGGAAGGGGAGUCUCUGUUCUCGGGGAGUAUGUAUGUUGGAAUGUUGCUUGUUAUUUUUCCCGAAGUGUGAUAUCAAUAAGUGCAGUUUGGUAUGAGGGGGAUGAUCAGUAUAUUCAGCCUUAACCAGAAAAAAAAAUGUAUUGGCCAAUUUGUCUAUAUUCAAUGGUGCAAGAGUCGGCUUUUCCAGAAAACGUUAUGUGUGGAAAAACCAUGGGACCAUAAUCAAGUUCCUGUUUCUCCAAGGCAUAGGUGAAAAGCAGAUGCAUAAUGAAGUCUCACAAACUUUGGUUGGCAGAGGCCCUUCAUACGCUCUCGUUAAACGUUGGGUUGCCAAUUUUAGAAUUGGCCAUUUUGGUGUCGGAAAUGAGAAACCCAGUGGAAGGCGUUUCAGAAAGCCACUAAUGACAUGAUCAUAGAGGACCACGAUAUAUCAGCUAAAAGUAUUGCUACAUAUCUGGGAGUAUCGUGUGGGAGAGUUGGUGUCAUUGUCCACGACGACUUGGAAAUGAAAAAUGUUGCACCAAAGUGGAUCCUAAACUUUUGACAAUCUCAGCAUAAGAGGAAACAUGUUAAGAUAUUGGUGGUGUUUUGGAACUGGCAACUGGUGACAAGACAUGGAUCUGCUGUUAUGAUCCUGAGAAAAAGGCACAGUCUAAGGAAUAUAGGCACAGUGGUUCCCCUGGCUGCCAAGGAAGUUUCGUGUGGCAAGGUCAGUGCAGAAGCAAAUGGAAACAGUUUUUUGGGAUAAGGAGUGGUUCUGCUAGUUAAUUACCACCACCCAGGUGUAACCAUCGAUGCAAAAUGUUACUGUGCUUUAUGGACGAAGUUGAGGCAAAACAUAAAAAAUACAUUGAACCUGCAAGAUUUCGGAGGCAAGUGAUGCUUUGAGAAUCCUUUGUACUAUAUAUAACAAAUUCCUUGGAUUUAAACACUUAUUUUACCCUUGGAAAUGUGUUCUACAUCAAACAAGAAAAAUUCAAGUAGCUCCAAGUAGGCUUCGCUGUCACAUACCUUCUUUAAAUUUUUAUUUACACACGACUGACCUGGCACACUCACUGAUUUGUAAUAUCUGUAGGGAAGACGAGACCAUAAAAACUUUAAUUUUUUGUCUACAAUUUUUUAGUUAGGAAAGCUCACCUUAGAAAAAAAUACCACUCAGCCUUCUUGGAUUAUAUUUAACUCUUCAAAGUUUACUGUCUUUGGGUGCCUCUACACCAGAGCACAGCAACGGGAACGUUAGCACUGCCAUCCAAGAUUUUGUUUUAGGAUCAAUGAAAUUUAAACUUAUAAUACAAUAAUGCAAGCCUCCUUUUCUUUCACCCAAAUUGAAUUCAUUUUUAUGAUUAUGGUAUUUUUUGUUUUCAUAAAAUUAUGCAGGCUCUCCGUCUCUGUCUUUUAAUUCUAACUUGCCUAUUAUAAAAUUUUGGCUUCAUAUGUCGUACUUUUGACCUAACCGAUUCUUGGACAACCCCCCAGAGUGGGUACGUGCCAGUAUUUCGCAAGGUUCAACAUCUAUAAAAACAUUCAGGAAAGCUCUCCAAAAGUGUUGUCCUGUUACAUAACAUUGCCUCAUCACACACUGCAGACGAAACAAUAGCAAAACUGAUAGAAUAGUGUUUGCCUGAGCUCGUUGGUUGCACACAGCACAAUUGGUUUCCAGCAGAACAUUCUAACACAGGCAGAAAGAGAAAACUAUACUCGCUGGACUAGCAACUGAAUGUUUGUUAUCGAUUUCCUACACUUUUCAUGGCACAAGACAGCCAAUGCUUUUUUUUUUUUUUUUCUGUCAUGCCGAUUAUCAGACUCCUUAGGUUGAAAUAUCGUCUUUGCACAAGUAGCCCUUUUCUUUUUCUGCUAGUAGUAUUGGUGGUGUACUGAUUGCUAGUCCAGCGUGUGUCAUCUCUUUUUGUCCAUGUCGGAACAUUCUGCUGGAAACCAAUUGUGCAAAACUUACCACCUCAAUAUUUCAAGUGAUGGCCCAUCCACCCUUGUCGUCCAACAGUCAUCUUUUUCCUAGUCUAAAAAAAUACCUAAAGGGACAGUGAUUGGGGAGUGUUCUGGAGGCAACUAGUGCUGCAAAUGAGUAUGAGCUACACCAGCAGACAAUUUUAUUUGCUGUAAUAAGCUGCAGAACAUGUCGCUAGUGCAUAGACUUCCUUGGGGAAUGUGUAAAUAGUGUAGCAGUUAGUUUUCUAGCUAAAUGUUUUCUCUGUAUAAGGCUCAGUACUUAUCAGCACCCCCUCGUACAUGUAGUUUUGUAUUUUGCUUCCUUGUUUGUCAAGUGAAAACUGUGUCUGUACUACAAUUGCUAGUUUUGCUUCACACCCCUUUUUUACUGGUUGUUAAGCAAUUUAGAUUUUUCUGAUGACAUCAACACAACAAAUAAACCCAAAAAUAAAUUGCAGAAACAAUUUAUUUCAAUAUAUUAAACAGAAAAAAAAAUGUCAGCAUUCACAGUAAUGCUUUUGCAGGCACUCAGCACCGAAAAUUGGUACCAAAUAGUUGAGCUGUGAACAAUCACUCUAUUUAAAAAUACCACUGUGUACUUAACGAAUACAGGGGCUACUCAUAGACAUGCAGUUCUUAAGGCCGCCCCACAUUCAGCGUUUUCUGCUGUUUCAUCACCUGGCGUCAACGUGGAGGGAGAUGCGCCCAAGAGACACCAGAUCUUGCCGUCGCCGCCAGAAGCAGCUCGAUGAGCACAGACCAAUCAGAACUGGUCUGCGCCAGAAAAGGCCGGUAAGUAUGCUGUAUGUGGGGCAGCCUUUAGUAGUAUCUAGCUGUAUUAGUUUAUGUGCAAGGACGAGCUUAGAUUGUCCCAAUGGUUUGGAGCAGCACAAGUGUAGUGACCAAGCAAGUUUCUCUAGGGCAGGAACAAUAUUUAGGUUUAUUUCCUGAUAAGCUGGACAGUUUGGAGGCCUUUUAGGUUUCUUAAAAUGCAUUUGUUAACUUCAUGUUCAGUUAACAGGAAAAUCGAGUGCAUCCAAGUACAGGGCAACAAAGUGCAAAUAGACAACUGGUAAUUAUCAAAAAAAAAUUAUGGGGUUGUACAUGCCAACACCACAAUUUGAUUAUGAGGCACGCCAUAGUGAGGGGUUUCGGAAUAAUUUGGACCACCUGGGGUUCUUUAACAUGCACCUAAAUCUAAGUAUGCGGGUGUUUUUGCAUUUUGCCCCCAUCGAAAUGCGGCCACCAUGGCCGGCAUUCGGUCCUGCGACCUCGUGUUUAGCAGCCAAACACCACAGCCGCUAAGUGACCGCGUGGGUGGGAAUCAGGGAGAGAGAGAGAGAAACAGACAGCAAAUUGAGUACGAAAGGGUCUACUGUAAUCUCAAUAAUUUACUGGAUGCAGCUAUUUUCUUUGUACACUUCCUCUUUAGUCGCUUGUCUUAUCAGCUACUUUUGCUCCAAGAAUGCCCACGUUGCUGUGAUUUUAGGAGUAUUUGCUGUAAUGAACCGAACAAUUGUUUCUUAGCUGUUCCUGAAGUUUUAGAAGCGUAGCACUUGCAUGGCUGCAAAAGAAAGCUGACAGAACAUAGUUGAAGCAAAUGCUCCAGCACACUUGGCAAUGCUGCUUCAAUCAUAGCGAGCACCUCAAGACACCAAGAUUAUACUUGAUUUCUGCAAUUCAAAGAGUUCAAACUAGUGCUCAGAUAUGUUCUGUGCUACAAUAAUACUCCAGCAUUGUUAAAGUAUGCUCGAGUUUUUUAUAUUCUUGAAGCUACCUUCAAAUGUAGAAGUCUGCUCAAACACUGCUGUAGUUUGUUGUCACCAGCCAAACAAUAAUACUGUACACUUGCAAAAUUUGUGUUUCUUGUACGAACAGUUUGAGACCAAUGCAACAUGUACAACCAUUUCUUUAUUCACCAAGAAGACCUUGUUGCUCGUAGCUCAGGGCCAUCACCACAAGCAUUUGAUGCAGCAGUAGGUCAGUCUUGCGCAAUGUGGAAAAAGCUAAUUAUAAUGUGUAACUAUUUCCUCGCAGUAGCCCAACCUUCCACCCUUUUCCACUGAAGAAAAAAAAACAUGUAAAUAAAGCAAUUUUGUACAAGCAA